CAAUCGGGUUGAGGACCUGAAGAAUGCAUCAGGAGGGCAAGGGCUCCCUCAGAAAAAGGCAGAGGGGGACGUGCCAGCAGGGCUCCCUGGAGGCCAUCCACAGCCCCUGAGUUGCCAUCCUCCUUGGUGAACGACCACACAACCAGUUCCUUUAGCUGCCUUUUCCUGACCAGUCCAGGCUGCUCGAACUCCUGAAUCCCUCUGCAGAGUUUCCUUCAUCAGCCAUUCCUGUGCACAGACCUCACCCUGCUGUCAAGAGCAAUAAAUGGCCUGUCUGACUUGAUGUGCGUGGGGCUUCACCAAAUGGGAACUGAAAACCAGAGAAUUUCAUCUCCAUAAGUAAAUAUAUCCAAGGAUGCAGGAAGUCCUUUAGCACUUCUUAUCCACCAAGCCAGCAAGGGGCUUACUAAGCCUAAGGAGAAGCCAUUGAACAUUACAGGCUUGGCCCUGCCCUCAGGAAGCUUCUGUUCUGGAGAACUGAGGUAGCCUAAGAAACAAAGCCUUUAUAAACAAGUCACUUGUGUAAUGAUGCUUUGAAGGUUUGCAUUUGUUGGCAAACAAUAAGGAUAUGUGGGUCCACAUUGUGUAUUCAAGAUCAAGUAUCAAAAUGAAAUUCUAUAACAGGCUUUGGCACAACUCCAAGUUUGAAUUAUGGAGGAUAAAUGUUCUCAGCUUUAUACUGGAGUUUUUUGGAAGAAAAAUAUUAUAAAAGAUGACUCUAUGGCAGUAUCUAGAAUACUAAAACCACUGAAAAACUACAUUUAAAAUUUUGUAAUAAAAAAAGUCAUUUUUGUCUGUA